GCAGUCGAACGGUGAAAGAGAGCUUGCUCUCUGGAUCAGUGGCGAACGGGUGAGUAACACGUGAGCAAUCUGCCCCUGACUCUGGGAUAAGCGCUGGAAACGGCGUCUAAUACCGGAUACGAGCUGCGAAGGCAUCUUCAGCAGCUGGAAAGAACUUCGGUCAGGGAUGAGCUCGCGGCCUAUCAGCUAGUUGGUGAGGUAAAGGCUCACCAAGGCGUCGACGGGUAGCCGGCCUGAGAGGGUGACCGGCCACACUGGGACUGAGACACGGCCCAGACUCCUACGGGAGGCAGCAGUGGGGAAUAUUGCACAAUGGGCGCAAGCCUGAUGCAGCAACGCCGCGUGAGGGACGACGGCCUUCGGGUUGUAAACCUCUUUUAGCAGGGAAGAAGCGAAAGUGACGGUACCUGCAGAAAAAGCACCGGCUAACUACGUGCCAGCAGCCGCGGUAAUACGUAGGGUGCAAGCGUUAUCCGGAAUUAUUGGGCGUAAAGAGCUCGUAGGCGGUUUGUCGCGUCUGCUGUGAAAACUGGGGGCUCAACCCCCAGCCUGCAGUGGGUACGGGCAGACUAGAGUGCGGUAGGGGAGAUUGGAAUUCCUGGUGUAGCGGUGGAAUGCGCAGAUAUCAGGAGGAACACCGAUGGCGAAGGCAGAUCUCUGGGCCGUAACUGACGCUGAGGAGCGAAAGGGUGGGGAGCAAACAGGCUUAGAUACCCUGGUAGUCCACCCCGUAAACGUUGGGAACUAGUUGUGGGGUCCAUUCCACGGAUUCCGUGACGCAGCUAACGCAUUAAGUUCCCCGCCUGGGGAGUACGGCCGCAAGGCUAAAACUCAAAGGAAUUGACGGGGACCCGCACAAGCGGCGGAGCAUGCGGAUUAAUUCGAUGCAACGCGAAGAACCUUACCAAGGCUUGACAUAUACGAGAACGCUGCAGAAAUGUAGAACUCUUUGGACACUCGUAAACA
rnacentral:rRNA from 1 species